rnacentral:rRNA from 1 species
GAUGAACGCUGGCGGCGUGCCUAAUACAUGCAAGUCGAGCGAACGGACGAGAAGCUUGCUUCUCUGAUGUUAGCGGCGGACGGGUGAGUAACACGUGGAUAACCUACCUAUAAGACUGGGAUAACUUCGGGAAACCGGAGCUCAUACCGGAUAAUAUUUUGAACCGCAUGGUUCAAAAGUGAAAGACGGUCUUGCUGUCACUUAUAGAUGGAUCCGCGCUGCAUUAGCUAGUUGGUAAGGUAACGGCUUACCAAGGCAACGAUGCAUAGCCAACCUGAGAGGGUGAUCGGCCACACUGGAACUGAGACACGGUCCAGACUCCUACGGGAGGCAGCAGUAGGGAAUCUUCCGCAAAGGGCGAAAGCCUGACGGAGCAACGCCGCGUGAGUGAUGAAGGUCUUCGGAUCGUAAAACUCUGUUAUUAGGGAAGAACAUGUGUGUAAGUAACUGUGCACAUCUUGACGGUACCUAAUCAGAAAGCCACGGCUAACUACGUG